CUCAAUCUCUUCUUGACCAUAUUGCGUAUUCUGAGGCAAGGUGACAACUGAAGGAAGCCAUACAAGCAUGAGGCUUCUGUGAUGGGAUUUCAGGGCUUUUAUGUGAUUUACAUUUUGUGUAUACCUGACUUAUGUUUCGAGUUUUUUUUUAUUUUACUAUAUGCUGCUAUGUGGUUAAACUGUUUGGUAAAACAAAAUCAAUUGAAGUCCAAUUUUCAAUGUUAAAUAAAUUUGGUAGAUUUUAAUAGCCGACUUGCUUGCUUGUCCUUGUUUCUCCGUGUUUGAUUGGCAUCUUUCAAAGAUACAUCUCCGUUACAAUUGAGGUUGUGUUACGAUGUUGAAGGAUGGUCAUGCUCGAGUCUGAUCCUCUGUUUUUACUGGAGUAGUGAUGUUGCUCGAUUUGAUUUACGACUUAUAAUAUCUAUCCAAAACUUGGAUUUCUUGGUUGACGUGGCCCAACCAAAUCUUCUGAACAAAAGAAGCGUGUCAUCUCUAAAAAGAAUCACUCAUUCUUUCUCCUCUGCUCCUAACAUGGAGACCCUUCUCUCUCCUCGUGCUCUCUCCCCUCCUCUCACCAUACCCACUCCGAGUCCCUUGUCUUUAUUCAGACCGAUCUCUUCCCAAUCCGCCAAGCUCACUAAACCAGAAUCUCCGUUUCUUAAGGCUUCUGCAGUUGGGAGGAGGAGAUUGAUGAUGGGUGGCUUGCUCAUGUCUGGUUUAAUAGUUUCAGAGGCCAAUCUUCCAACAUCAGCAUUUGCUUUGACUCCAGUGUUCAGAGAGUACAUAGAUACAUUUGAUGGAUACUCUUUCAAGUACCCUCAAAACUGGAUUCAAGUUAGAGGAGCAGGCGCUGACAUAUUCUUUAGAGACCCUAUUGUCCUUGACGAGAACCUCUCGGUGGAGUUUUCUUCACCUUCUUCCUCGAAAUACAAGUCUCUUGACGACUUGGGUUCACCUGAAGAAGUAGGAAAGAAAGUACUUAGACAGUACUUGACUGAGUUUAUGUCCACUAGACUCGGUGUCAAGCGUGAGUCUAACAUUCUUACAACUUCCUCCAGAGUUGCAGAUGAUGGUAAACUCUACUAUCAAGUCGAGGUAAACAACAUGUCUUAUUUUUGGUGUAGAACAUGUCAUGAUCAACACAUGUUCCCAUUGUUUCAGAGUUGCAUUGUAUUUAUUUAUUAAUCAUAGCUUCACUAUGCUACGUUGGUGUUUUAAAUAUUUUGAUGGAUUGACACAGGUGAACAUAAAGUCAUACGCAAACAAUAACGAGCUAGCUGUGAUGCCGCAAGAUAGAGUGGCUCGUUUGGAAUGGGACAGGCGUUACCUCGCGGUUCUAGGAGUUGAGAACAAUAGACUCUACUCACUGAGACUCCAAACACCUGAGAAAGUUUUCCAGGAAGAGGAAAAAGACCUAAGAAGAGUUAUGGAUUCGUUCAGAGUCGAGAAGAUUUAGAGAGAGAUGUAGCCAUUGGUUUACAAAAAAUCUUGUUGAUGGUUAUGUUCCCUUUCACUUUCUAUUUUUGUAAUAUUAAAGCAUAAGCCAAGCUAAGGUAAACGCUUUUUUUACUGAACUUUUCAGAUUCGUUUCUUGAUCGGAGGAGUUUAUAAUUUCAAACCUAUCCCUACAAAACCGGUUGAGUUGGAUUAAUUAUUGAAUAGGGUGGCAAACUAAGUUACAAAACGAUCAGAUAUCAACUGUUAAACAGGCUAUUAAACUUUAAGACAAUCUGAUUGUUCAUCAUCGAUUUUUUUAUGAAAUGGUUAGUCAAUUGAUCAAGAAAUUAACUAAUCACCAUGGAACCGGUUAACUUAUAACCAAGUUGACAAUAAAAUAUUUCUGGUUAUGUGUGAGGGUUUUAUUAUUGGUUUAGGCCUUUCAAAAAACACCCUCCUUAGGAAAAAAAAGAAGAGAAUUAUUGAGAGUAAGAGGUAAAGAAGCUUUUUCCGUAGUACAACAUGUAAACAUCUUUGUAUCAUGUGUUCUCCAUGAAUCCCUUGGUAUAUAUGAGUCUCAUACUGAAAUUAAAUAUAGCUAGGACAUACACUGUUGAUUCUGCUUUUUUUCCUUUGAAUGGUUCAACAUUCCCCGGCAUAUGAGCCCAUCCAGAGCACCUAUACAAUCCUUAAAAAAAGGCCAUAUUGUGGAUCAUCUACUAGAACAUGACAAGCAUUUGCAAACGCAUUCCUGAGAAGUAGCACAAUGUCUGUUGUGAGUUUCAACAAAAAAAAACAUGAAAACUUCAUCUAACAUCUUCUUCAUAAUAAGAGAAUACUAGUAUCUCUAAGAUAGAACAUGUAUGGUUAGAUCUUUGCCCAACCAUCUCAAAGAACAUUACAACACUAAAUUCUACAUAAAUAUGACAAGUUUUUUUAGAUUAUACUUUUCUGAUAGUCUUACAUACACUUCUAAACUUAGCAUGGUUCAUGCGAAUAGUAUCAUAGUUUUGUACCCCAAAUUCGUUGAUAAAAUGUUGCACAUCACACCAGCCUCCACCUCGAUUUUUUUCAUCACUUGUUGUUUGUCAAUAUUUCAUCCAUCACUCCAGAGGUUUCAUCUAUAAGUGGUUACAUGUGUUUCUUUUUUUUUGAAAGAAUGUUAAAUUUAUUCAUCCCAAAAAGACUUUUUUACAUACAAAGUGUGGCUGUUUUCCAUGACUUAGUAAUGAUAUCUUAGAGUUGAGUUUUUACUCUUUUUUUCUUAAGAAAACAGAACACAUAAACUUCCAUAGCUUAAGCAUCCCGAGAUCCAAACCAAGCGACCAUUGCGUCGUCAAAUCGUCUGGUUUUUCUUCUUAAAGAGGAGAUCCGAUUGCGCACUGUUUUGUCAAUGAACCUGAUGAGCAUGUCUGAUGUUUUGUGCCCUUCUCCAUGCCUUCUCCCAUUUCUCUCUCUCCAUAUCGUGUGUAUUGAGACUUGAAAUACAUAUUUCACCAGAAAAUUAUAUAUUCCGUGUCUUCCCCGAGCUUCUAAUAUUUGCAUAAGGCUGCUCCUGUCUGCAGUGUAGCUUGUGCCAAGGAUAUUCUUAGAAAGAUUGGCCCAAAUCCGAGUGGAGUAAGGACAAAUGAAGAAGAGAUUAUCUCUUGUUUCUGUUGGCACCAAACAUAGCACACAUUUGACAUCUACCUGAGGGCACCAUUGGGCAAUGCGAUCAGUAGUAGCGAGACGGUUGUGGAUGGCCAACCAGGUGAUAAAUGAAUAUUUGGGCGUGGCCCCUGUAAACCAGAUAGUGUCAGACCAAGGAACUUUAGGUUUCUGCACUCUCGUCACCUGCCACGUUUGGUAAGAACUGAAAAACGGCUUGAAAACAUCUCCCUCCCCUUUCCAAAGCCGAACGUCCUCCCCACAUACCAGACCCUGCGCUUUCAACUUCAGUAUCUCUGUUUCUAUAGCUUUCAGAUGCUCACCUCGACGCCGUCUAGGGGAAUAAGAGUGGACAGCAUACCCAACAUCGCAUUAAUAUUGAUCCCCAUAUCAAUACAACCGCAAGGGCCAGUGAGGUCAAUUAGCCUUCCUAGAGAUGACCUGUUAUCGAACCAAAAUGAGCUAUUGUUACCACUCUGAAUCUCCACUCGAGUGAGAUUACUAGCCAUCUCUCUAUAUUUCAGGAUCUUCUUCCAUAUCUAGCUUCCUAGUGUACUCUUCUCAUCCACUUGCCAAAAUGAGCUCUUUCGAAUCAGAUACAGAUCCACCCAUCUGACCCAUAAUGAUUUCGAAGAAAGGAUUCUCCAUACAAGCUUCAGACAGCACACAUUAUUUGCUUCUUCUAGAGACCUGAUGCCCAGUCCCCCUUCCUCUUUUGGAGUAAAAACAUCAUGCCAAGCAAUUUUUGCUUUCUUUGAAUUCGCCCUAUAGUGAGUCGUAUUACAAUUCACUGGCCGUCGUUUUACAACGUCGUGACUGGGAAAACCCUGGCGUUACCCAACUUAAUCGCCUUGCAGCACAUCCCCCUUUCGCCAGCUGGCGUAAUAGCGAAGAGGCCCGCACCGAUCGCCCUUCCCAACAGUUGCGCAGCUGAAUGGCGAAUGGCGCCUGAUGCGGUAUUUUCUCCUUACGCAUCUGUGUGGUAUUUCACACCGCAUAUGGUGCACUCUCAGUACAAUCUGCUCUGAUGCCGCAUAGUUAAGCCAGCUGAAUGGCGAAUGGCGCCUGAUGCGGUAUUUUCUCCUUACGCAUCUGUGCGGUAUUUCACACCGCAUACGUCAAAGCAACCAUAGUACGCGCCCUGUAGCGGCGCAUUAAGCGCGGCGGGUGUGGUGGUUACGCGCAGCGUGACCGCUACACUUGCCAGCGCCCUAGCGCCCGCUCCUUUCGCUUUCUUCCCUUCCUUUCUCGCCACGUUCGCCGGCUUUCCCCGUCAAGCUCUAAAUCGGGGGCUCCCUUUAGGGUUCCGAUUUAGUGCUUUACGGCACCUCGACCCCAAAAAACUUGAUUUGGGUGAUGGUUCACGUAGUGGGCCAUCGCCCUGAUAGACGGUUUUUCGCCCUUUGACGUUGGAGUCCACGUUCUUUAAUAGUGGACUCUUGUUCCAAACUGGAACAACACUCAACCCUAUCUCGGGCUAUUCUUUUGAUUUAUAAGGGAUUUUGCCGAUUUCGGCCUAUUGGUUAAAAAAUGAGCUGAUUUAACAAAAAUUUAACGCGAAUUUUAACAAAAUAUUAACGUUUACAAUUUUAUGGUGCACUCUCAGUACAAUCUGCUCUGAUGCCGCAUAGUUAAGCCAGCCCCGACACCCGCCAACACCCGCUGACGCGCCCUGACGGGCUUGUCUGCUCCCGGCAUCCGCUUACAGACAAGCUGUGACCGUCUCCGGGAGCUGCAUGUGUCAGAGGUUUUCACCGUCAUCACCGAAACGCGCGAGACGAAAGGGCCUCGUGAUACGCCUAUUUUUAUAGGUUAAUGUCAUGAUAAUAAUGGUUUCUUAGACGUCAGGUGGCACUUUUCGGGGAAAUGUGCGCGGAACCCCUAUUUGUUUAUUUUUCUAAAUACAUUCAAAUAUGUAUCCGCUCAUGAGACAAUAACCCUGAUAAAUGCUUCAAUAAUAUUGAAAAAGGAAGAGUAUGAGUAUUCAACAUUUCCGUGUCGCCCUUAUUCCCUUUUUUGCGGCAUUUUGCCUUCCUGUUUUUGCUCACCCAGAAACGCUGGUGAAAGUAAAAGAUGCUGAAGAUCAGUUGGGUGCACGAGUGGGUUACAUCGAACUGGAUCUCAACAGCGGUAAGAUCCUUGAGAGUUUUCGCCCCGAAGAACGUUUUCCAAUGAUGAGCACUUUUAAAGUUCUGCUAUGUGGCGCGGUAUUAUCCCGUAUUGACGCCGGGCAAGAGCAACUCGGUCGCCGCAUACACUAUUCUCAGAAUGACUUGGUUGAGUACUCACCAGUCACAGAAAAGCAUCUUACGGAUGGCAUGACAGUAAGAGAAUUAUGCAGUGCUGCCAUAACCAUGAGUGAUAACACUGCGGCCAACUUACUUCUGACAACGAUCGGAGGACCGAAGGAGCUAACCGCUUUUUUGCACAACAUGGGGGAUCAUGUAACUCGCCUUGAUCGUUGGGAACCGGAGCUGAAUGAAGCCAUACCAAACGACGAGCGUGACACCACGAUGCCUGUAGCAAUGGCAACAACGUUGCGCAAACUAUUAACUGGCGAACUACUUACUCUAGCUUCCCGGCAACAAUUAAUAGACUGGAUGGAGGCGGAUAAAGUUGCAGGACCACUUCUGCGCUCGGCCCUUCCGGCUGGCUGGUUUAUUGCUGAUAAAUCUGGAGCCGGUGAGCGUGGGUCUCGCGGUAUCAUUGCAGCACUGGGGCCAGAUGGUAAGCCCUCCCGUAUCGUAGUUAUCUACACCAUAUACAGCAACAAGCACAGUUGUAAUCUAAAACUGCUAAAGAGGUCGACAGACAACUAUGGAUGAACGAAAUAGACAGAUCGCUGAGAUAGGUGCCUCACUGAUUAAGCAUUGGUAACUGUCAGACCAAGUUUACUCAUAUAUACUUUAGAUUGAUUUAAAACUUCAUUUUUAAUUUAAAAGGAUCUAGGUGAAGAUCCUUUUUGAUAAUCUCAUGACCAAAAUCCCUUAACGUGAGUUUUCGUUCCACUGAGCGUCAGACCCCGUAGAAAAGAUCAAAGGAUCUUCUUGAGAUCCUUUUUUUCUGCGCGUAAUCUGCUGCUUGCAAACAAAAAAACCACCGCUACCAGCGGUGGUUUGUUUGCCGGAUCAAGAGCUACCAACUCUUUUUCCGAAGGUAACUGGCUUCAGCAGAGCGCAGAUACCAAAUACUGUUCUUCUAGUGUAGCCGUAGUUAGGCCACCACUUCAAGAACUCUGUAGCACCGCCUACAUACCUCGCUCUGCUAAUCCUGUUACCAGUGGCUGCUGCCAGUGGCGAUAAGUCGUGUCUUACCGGGUUGGACUCAAGACGAUAGUUACCGGAUAAGGCGCAGCGGUCGGGCUGAACGGGGGGUUCGUGCACACAGCCCAGCUUGGAGCGAACGACCUACACCGAACUGAGAUACCUACAGCGUGAGCUAUGAGAAAGCGCCACGCUUCCCGAAGGGAGAAAGGCGGACAGGUAUCCGGUAAGCGGCAGGGUCGGAACAGGAGAGCGCACGAGGGAGCUUCCAGGGGGAAACGCCUGGUAUCUUUAUAGUCCUGUCGGGUUUCGCCACCUCUGACUUGAGCGUCGAUUUUUGUGAUGCUCGUCAGGGGGGCGGAGCCUAUGGAAAAACGCCAGCAACGCGGCCUUUUUACGGUUCCUGGCCUUUUGCUGGCCUUUUGCUCACAUGUUCUUUCCUGCGUUAUCCCCUGAUUCUGUGGAUAACCGUAUUACCGCCUUUGAGUGAGCUGAUACCGCUCGCCGCAGCCGAACGACCGAGCGCAGCGAGUCAGUGAGCGAGGAAGCGGAUUAAACGCCUGGUUGCUACGCCUGAAUAAGUGAUAAUAAGCGGAUGAAUGGCAGAAAUUCGAUGAUAAGCUGUCAAACAUGAGAAUUGGUCGACGGCCCGGGCGGCCGCAAGGGGUUCGCGUUGGCCGAUUCAUUAAUGCAGCUGGCACGACAGGUUUCCCGACUGGAAAGCGGGCAGUGAGCGCAACGCAAUUAAUGUGAGUUAGCUCACUCAUUAGGCACCCCAGGCUUUACACUUUAUGCUUCCGGCUCGUAUGUUGUGUGGAAUUGUGAGCGGAUAACAAUUUCACACAGGAAACAGCUAUGACCAUGAUUACGCCAAGCUAUUUAGGUGAGACUAUAGAAUACUCAAGCUUGCAUGCCUGCAGGUCGACUCUAGAGGAUCCCCGGGUACCGAGCUCGAAUUCAUUGGAAAAAAGUGGGAAAAGGUCUGCUUACCACGAGAGGAGAGUGGAAUUGGCUUUCGUAUGAUCCAUGAGUUUAACGUGGCUUUACCGGCAAAACAACUAUGGAGGUUGGUCCAAUACCAUGAUUCAUUGGUGGCUAAAGUAUUGAGGGGAAGAUACUACAUAAUGAGUUCGCCUUUACGAACAAUCUCUGUAAGUAGUUCUUCGUAUGUAUGGACCAGUAUCUCAGCAGCUAGGAAGCUAUUGCUAUUGGGAAUCAGACAGAAGAUACACUCAGGAUAUGAGGUCAAGGCCUGGGAGGAUCCUUGGAUCCCGACAACACCAGCUCGACCGGCUCAUCCCUUAGCCCCAGUCAUACAUCUGAACAUGAGAGUCAGCAAUUUUAUUAAUCAGGAAUCAAAGGAAUGGGAUGUUGGGCUAUUGGAGAAUUAUGUGGCUCCUCAAGAUAUACCUCUCAUAAGAAUUUUGGCCACAAUCUCAGCUCAUCAUCGGGAUAUAUUCUGUUGGAACUACACAAAGAAUGGCCAUUAUACUGUCAAAUCAGGAUAUUGGGAAGCUCGUAAUUUAUUGAAGCAUGAGGAAGAGAAGGAGAGAUACUAGAACACAGUAUAACAAAGCUUCAAGCCUUUGCUUGGAAGUUAAAAGCCCCACAGAAAAUAUGUCAUCUUAUAUGGCAAUUGAUAACAUGCCAUUUAGCAGUAACAAAGAACUUGAUAAGGCGUAACAUGUAUUGCCCACGAUGUGGAGAACCAGAAGAAUCUAUUACUCAUGCAAUUUUUGAAUGACCACCAGCUCUACAAGUUUGGGCCUUAUCAUUGACGCCAACGAGUCCAAAUAUCUUUCUUGUCUCGAGUAUUUAUGCUAAUAUGGAUUAUCUCUUCUGGAGGAAGAACAUCAUGGUUGAGCCAAACUUAGAUAGGGAUCCUUAUCCCUGGCUGAUCUGGUACAUUUGGAAGGCCAGAAAUGGUAAACUUUUUAGGAGAAUAGACUGUGAUCCUUUGGAGCUAGUUCACUAUGCAGAGAGUGAGUGUCAAGCCUGGUUCAAUGCAAACGAGAUGGUGCCAUCAAAUCCACAAGACCAUAAUAUUCGCGAACCUCAAGUCUUAAGCUUGGGUAAUAUAUGCAUGAUAGACGGAUCAUGGACAUCUACGUACAGCACAGUUCAGCGGGUGUGGAUGGACUUGGAUGGACAACUUGGUGAAGGUUCAACUUAUGGGGACACAGAAUUAUAUUCGGCGAGAGUCUACCUUGCAUCCAGAAGUUGAAGCAUUAAGAUAGGCAAUGGAGAGCAUGUUGCAAUAUUCGACAUGUCAGAGCUUUGGAACAGACCACAAGGAUUUGAUCGCCAAGAUUAAGGAGCCCCAUACUUGACCAAGCUUUGUAACUGAACUGGAGAGGAUAGAGACUCUGCAGAUAUGUUUCCCGGACUUCAAGAUUACGCAUAUACCACGAACGCAAAAUCAGAUUUCAGAUUCUUUAGCUAGGACGGCAAGAUCUUUCCAUAGAGAGCUUCAUUUUAUUGGUUGUUCUAUUCUGGUCUCUGUUUAUCCNNNNNNNNNNNNNNNNNNNNNNNNNNNNNNNNNNNNNNNNNNNNNNNNNNNNNNNNNNNNNNNNNNNNNNNNNNNNNNNNNNNNNNNNNNNNNNNNNNNNAGACUAACAUUUUAUAUAAUUUGAUUUUGACUAAUUAGAUUGUCAAUACGAUAUCAAAGUGCUAUUAUUACAAACAAAAUUAUAUUUCUGUAAUGGAAAAAUCUCUCUUUAUUCAUAGCAUAGAGGUUCCUUAUAUAGGAGAUUACACCGUCAUAGAUAAAUGGAAAGAUUAAAAAUCAUAAUUUAUUGGUUAUGAACCAUCCACAAUCUGGUUCAUAACACUUCCUCUUGGAUGUCAUAACCAUUUAGAACUUCUAAUGUGCUUUAAUGUUAUCUCAUUAAAAUCUUACCAGGAAAACCCAAUUGGGAUAAAACCAUGGUGAAAGAAAAAGAGUACAACACACAUUACUCCCCUAAUUUGGACAUUACUGAAGGUCCCUUGGACCUCUCCAAUUUUCUGCAAUCCGUGGGUGAUGAAGAUUUUGGGCAGAAUAUGAUUCGUCCUCGAACAUGAUAGUUGGUUCUUCUUUACCAUCGGCCAUGCCACAAUCUGAUCGAACAUAUUGAGUCAUCGACCUCAAAUACACACACACAAAAUCUUGGAUGAUGUUGCUGUGAUAUGCGUGUACCACCAUGUGUAAAACAUAACCUGUCUGAAAACAAAUCAACAAAACCAAAUAACCCCUUUUUGGGCUAGUUAGAUAAAAUAAACCAAAAUCAAAGGCUUCUUCAUCGUCCUUCUUAUGGACCAAACAGAUCAGUGUCUAAAACAAGACUUCUGCAUCGUCUAUCUCAGGACUAAAUGGACUUCUUUAUCGUCCACCUUCGAACUGAAUGGAUCAGUGUCCAAAACAAGUGAUCUCACGUCCAUGUACUAGAUAAUGGGUGAGACGGGUCCAUAUUAAAUCUCUUGAGUACCCUUUUCUGUAUAUACUAUUUGAUGCACAAGGAUUUCAUUGUUAAUGUACUCAAGCUGUAAUCCCAAACAAAACUUUGUUUUCCAAGAUCUUUCAUCUCAAACUCUUUCUUGAGAUAUUCAACUGUUUGGGAAAUUGUAUUCAGAGGUUACUAGGAUAUUCAGAUCAUAUACUUUGAUGAUUAUCAAUAUUGUUCUCGAGAACUUGCUGUACUUUCAGCUCAAUACCCUCUAGUACUUUCAUUAUCCAGUGGACCAUAUAAAUAUGCAGUCACUACAUCAAUUUGCUGCAAGUCUAAUUUUCUCUUUUAUAUAGCCAGACUUAUGAGAAAUCUAAAAGUAGUUGCAUCCACCACAUGGGGUAUGUCUCCUCAUAAUCUAUUACUGGUCUUUGUGAGAAUCCUUGUGCAACAUCAGCUUUAUAUCUCACGAUUUCUAUUCUUCACAAGACCCAUUUAUAUCCACUGGUUUUAACAUCAUAUGGCGUCUUAAUCAUAUGGCCAAAUACGCCUUUCUUCCUUAAACUAUUUAACCCCACGUUUCCAUUCAAUCCAAUCUGUUCUACGAGUGCGCACUCUUAUAUUGACGUGGGUUCAUGAUCCUCGCUUAUAUUCAUAAAUUCAAGUGCUACCUUGUAUGCAAAUAAAUCAUCUUAUGUCGACAUUCCUUAUUGGUUCCAUUAUGUUCCAGACAUGAUAUAAUCGAUUGAGAUUCAUUAUUAUCAGGACCUUUAAUACUUUGCAGCUUGGCGUCCCAAGCUACAUUGUUUGGUACCUGUACCUUAGAGCCGACCAGCCUUAUCUCUAUGUCUGGGAUGGUUUCCUUAGUAACCUCGGAUUUGGAUUUUGAUUAUCAUUCUCUGCACCUUUCUUUUGUUUCCGAGGAUUCUUAUCUUUUGGAACCUAUUUAGUCUACCACGUUUCAUACGUUGUCUAGACUCUGUAGCAACUUGAUUGUGUCUCUUCUUGGACAUCAAAUUCGUUGGUGUUUUAUAAGUUGGUUUAUAUAUGACUUAGUCAUUCUUUUUCGGGUCAGCAAAUGUGUCUGGCAUUUGAUUAGCUAGCUUUGUAAAUUUAUAAUCUUUGGACGUCUAUUUCACAUUCUUUAGUCCGAGGAUCUUGCCAAGACAUUGAUGGUUGAUUCCAUUCUAUUUCUUUUACCAUUCUUUUACCAGCUUUAUUAUUUUUUUCUCCUCCUGGUCUUAAAAUAAUCAGUGUACCUGACCUCAAAUAUAAUCACCCAUAGUUGGCUCAAAGUACUUUAUUAUUGUGGGAGAAUCAUAUCCAACAUAUAUCCCCAUCCUCCUUUUGAGGUCCCAUCUUAGUUCUCUGUGGUGGAGCAAUUAGUACAUAGACAACACAUCCAAAUGUCUUAUGAUGGGGUAUGUCUGGCUCUUGACCCGUUAAUAAUUGUGAUAUGGAAUAUCUAUGCUCACUAAAUGGCCUGAUGCGUAUUAACUUAGGUGCAUGUAAAUUUCGUGUGGUCCAAGCUGUGAAUGAGAGUUUUGACCUCAUAAGUUAUGGUCUAUCAAUCAGCUAUUUGCAUUUUAAAAGAUUUCGGCCAAGCCGUUCUUGGUAUGGACAUGUAUCACAUAAUUGUCCACACUUACCCCCGUGGACAUACCAUAAUCAUUUAAACGCUUGAGACAUGUAUUCACCAGUAUAAUCUAGACAUAUAGUCUUUAUUUAUGAAAAAGGGGCUCGUAGCCGUUUUACUGGUGAUGGCCUAAUGAGUUUCCCUUGUGUACAUGCUACACACGUGAGAUUCUUUGGGAUAACUCUUCUUAUCUUUUAAUGUGUGCCUUUUGAAUAUCAAUUUUUGCAUCAUGUUUGGACCAGGAUGGCCAAUCCGGUCGUGCCAUAAAGUGUAUAUUUUCGCAGAUUUUUAGUCUCUAUCAUGCUGAUCUAUGCAUAGUCUAGGUCAGUAGAGAAUGCAGGUAUAAUCUUUAGGACUUAUUAUGGCCUUGGGCGAUUUUAUACAUAUAUCUGAAGGAACUCUUUGUUUCCUUCGCCCUUUGUUUCAAUAUGGAAACCAUUCAUUCUUAUAUCUUUAAAACUCAAUAGGCUGCUCUUGCUCUUAGAGCUGGGUGAAUAUAAGACAUCACUGAUUUCUAGAUGCAUACCCUUAGGCAAUAAUAUAUUAGCCUAGCCAUAGUCUUCUUUCAGACUGGCAAUACCUGAUUUAGUACUUAUAUUGGCGUUUUUCAGUGUACUCAUAUAGAAAAAUCAUUCAUUCAUUUAAACUAAGCAGACAAUGUAAUACAAAUAAAUCCAAGGAGAUAAAAAUCAGAGAAAGCAUACAAGAAAAGCAAUCACACAAGUUUGAUGUCGAAAUCAGAUUAUCAACUUGAUUCUUUUAGACAAUCAUAAGUCUCAUAUUCCAUAAGAUGAUCUUGAUCAUGUUCGAAAUUAUUUUCACCAUCUUUAUAGACCAAGUGGGUUUCAAGAUUCUUCUCUUUCAGACUCUCUUUGAUAGAGGUCACAAAAAUGUUUGAGAGUCCUUCAUAUCUUAGCUCAAUGGUUCCCCAUUCCACAUCUAUGGCACACUGAUUUGGUCGAGCUUUGUGGUUUAAAGGAUAUACCACGACCACUGCCUUGACCAUGGCUCAAAUUGGGUUGAUACCCACGGCCUCUGCCAUAGUGAUUCCCACGGCCAAAUGUGUUAUAGUGGCCAUGGCCACGUCCUUUCCACCCUCCACGGCCAUGACCGUGUGGUCUAUCAUUCUGGACGUGGUUACCUUUUUUUUUUCUUCUGCGGCCUUAUUGGUAUCAUGUAAUGGGGUUAAUCCAAGAGGUCUCAAUUCACUGUUUCUCAUCAGUAAUCCAUUAUUUUGUCCAGCUAGAAAUAGACUCAUCCACGGACUUAUAGUCAUGGAUUCUGGGAUUCCUCCAAUCAAAUAGGACAGUUGGUAAUAACACCGUUCUUUAGUGAUCAUAUCUCGAUUUUUAACUAUGUCCAAAGGUCUAGAGGAUUCUCUAUAGUCAGAUACUGAUCUUUGAGACUCUUAAUAAGAUGAUGGCUAAUAAUUAAUAUUGCCCUGUAUCAAUCUUUCUCAUUGGCAUUAUUGCCUUCUAUGAUACAUUCACCAAGUCUUUUUGAUUUUAGGACAAUCUUUGUAUCCAAUGCCCACCGUAAAAAAAUUAUCUCCAAAGAGAUUUAGGGCAGCAAAAUCCAGGUUGAUUUUCGACAUCUCAAAUCAUAUAUCACUCAAUAUUUAGGUAUAAUUUUCAUGCGGCCUUACUCUUAAAAACAAUCAAUUCGGAUUUCAAUCUUGUGAGGACAAUGAGACUAUCAAUCUUAAAUGCAUUUAAUCAAUCAGUCAAUUUCUAGCAAGUCUCAGCAAUACUAUUUCUAUGUGCUCAUAAUAUUAUGGUUUAUCAAGACUAGCAAAAACGAAUUCAAUUAAUCAUAAAAUUAGGGUUUAACAAUCAAUGAAUUUUAGCAAGACUAGUAAAAAUAUUUAUUAAUCACUCAAUCAGUUUCAAAGCUGAUUUUAGCAAUACUAGAAUAUAGAUUUCAAGAAUGAAUUUCAAUGAAUCAGUUUCAAGGCUGAUUUUAGCAAUACUAGAAUAUAGAUUUCAAGAAUGAAUUUCAAUGAAUCAGUUUCAAGGCUGAUUUUAGCAAUACUAGAAUAUAGAUUUCAAGAAUGAAUUUCAAUGAAUCAGUUUCAAGGCUGAUUUUAGCAAUACUAGAAUAUAGAUUUCAAGAAUGAAUUUCAAUGAAUCAGUUUCAAGGCUGAUUUUAGCAAUACUAGAAUAUAGAUUUCAAGCAUGAAUUUCAAUGAAUCAGUUUCAAGGCUGAUUGGUAUUUAGCAUAAACCAUGUGUAAAUAAUUUAUCUAGUAUCCGAAUUUAUCAAACCUCAAAAACAUAUAAUCAGAUCAAUCAAUUUAAGCGAACUUACAAUACAAUCUUAAACCUCAAGACAUUAGAUUUUAUCAUGAAUCUAUCAAUCUAGCAUACGGAUUCUCAAUUCUCAUAGACAUCCAAAUCAGAUCAAUAUAACCUAUCAUACGAAUUAUUUAGGGUUUCUAUUUAAAACAGAUCAGAUUACAAAACUAUCAAUCCUAACAGAUGAUAUUAAACCUCAAGAAUCAUGCAAUCAGAUCAUUCAGAUUUUAAACAAGUAACCUCAAUAAAUCUAUCAACCUAUCGGAUUAUAUAAGCAAAGCAAGCUAGCAACCUAUCAGAUUCAAUCAAUGUUUUAACAGGCUGGUCGGUUUAAACAAUUUUAAAUCAUAUGAACAAUUAACCAAGCAGGAUGAGAAAAUAAAUCUAUCAAUUUAACGGUCAAACGAUUCUAGCAACAUAGCAUCAGAUUCAAUCAGAUUUAAAACCUCAAUGAUCAAAACCGAAAACAAUUUUGAUUUCAAAAUAUUCGAUUAGGGUUUUAAUAUGUGAUUUGAUAAUUAUAGUAUAAUUAAUUCUGAUACUUAUAUUAUUUAGGGUUUAUAGAUAUAGGGUUAUGGUUUAUCGGAUUUUAACUAGUAAAAACCGAUUUGGGGUUUUAAUUAUGUAGGAACAUGAUUUAGGGUUUGGGGUAUCGAACUUUUAGAGCUUCGAUUUACUCAAUUAGGAUUUUUGAUCUAUUACCCUAUGGUUUUGAUUCAUAAAGAUUAGGGUGUUUUAGGGUUUCAUUCUUUAUCAAUCAAUCCAUGUUCGAUUAUGGGUUCUUAGGUUUUGAAUUACCUUUUAACCUUAGAUGAUUGUUGAAUCGGACCACCAAAGGAAUUAAUCCGCGAGCUGGACACGAACGGGACGCGAGCUGGAAUGGAUCGAGUCGCUUCUAUCGGGUCGGGGACGUCCUUUGUUGCUUGAUCGGGAACGCCUUGAUCGUCGGACGUGAGCUGUAUGAUGCUGUCGCGAACGAGGAAGAAGUCGCGUGCUGGAGCUGCUCUCGGGUCGCGAAUGUCUGAGCUAGGAUCAGGAACGCCUUGGGCUGAAGCUGAUCGGGGACGCGAGCUGGAACAGAUGCGGAAACAAGAGACGAGAUCGGGGUUUAGGGUUCGUCGGAUCGCCGGCGAGGGUUAGGGUUUUAGGGUUUUUCGAUUUGGGUAUUAGCUUAGGGAUUUAGAGUUUCGUGCUGAUAACAUGUUAUAAAAGUAAUUGAAAAGUCUCUCUUUAUUCAUAGCAUAGAAGUUCCUUAUAUAGGAGAUUACACCGUCAUAGAUAAAUGGAAAGAUUACAAAUCAUAGUCUCUUGGUUAUGAGCCAUCCACGAUCUGGUUCAUAACAAUUUCAUAAUUUCAUCCACAAUUUUAUAUUUUAUAUUUAGUUAAAACAGUUUUUCUACCAAAAAACAGUUUCGUUUAUUUUUUCAAUUUUUUUUUAUAUUACAAAAACUCUGUUUUUCCUUACACAAUCAAUUUUCCAAUUGUAAAAUUUUUAGAAUCUAUUUCCAUCAAAAAACGGAAAAGAAACGUUAGGAGACAAUUCCAAAACACAUUCCAAUAUCAUUGCCAUUUUCUUUUGUCACGGUUUUUGAUUUACUCUCCAGUCACUUUCAAUACCAAAAGGCAUCUUAGUUUUUUCUUUUCUUUUUUCUUGUUAAUAUAUACAGAAGGCUCACGUUUUGCCAAGUGCGCAACAGUUUCUUCUUCCCUUCACGGAUCUAAACAACGAAUGCGCCGCAGUAAUCUUUUAUCCAAUGUAUUUUCAUACAUAUUUCCUAUAAACCCGGCAAGAAAAAAUUCAGUUUUUUUUUUCUCCGUAAAUCUCCAUUGAUACAACCUUCUUUUAUCUUCUCCUUCUUCAGUUUAUGUUGCCUUAACCGUUUUAGGCAGAAAUAUUACUUACAAGAACAAGAAAGCUUUGUCUUUUACCUCUUGUACAAACAAGGUAAUGAAAGAGAGAAUCUGUUUUGUUUCUUCACUUUACUUUUAAGCAAAUCUUGUUUCUUCAGUGUUCUUAGUGACUGUGACCGACGGUUGUCGUCUUUGUUUACAACUUUUAUUUUUGUCAUUACAUCAUCAGCUCUCAAAGUCAUUAACUCCCCAGUUUUGUCUGAAUCUUUCCUUUCUUAGUCUUUAACUCCCUAGUUUUGUCUGAAUCUGUUCUUUCUUUCUUAGUUUGUUUUUCCAGGAAGGUAAAGACAGAAUAGUAUCUUCACACUCCCAUGGCUACCAUAAACGAGAUUGGAGUAGCAGCAGCAAUAAAUAUAGUCACAUCAAUUGCUUUCUUGAUAGCUUUUGCAAUACUCAGGAUUCAACCAGUAAACGACAGAGUCUACUUCCCUAAGUGGUACCUCAAGGGCCUAAGAACUAGCUCUAUACAAACCGGUGGCUUUGGAAGCAAGUUCAUCAACUUGGACUUCAGGUCCUAUGUUCGAUUCCUCAACUGGAUGCCUGAAGCACUUAAAAUGCCUGAACCAGAGCUCGUUGAUCACGCAGGACUUGAUUCUGUUGUCUACUUGAGGAUCUACUUACUCGGGUAUAUAUUUAUAUGUAACCUCACAUCGCUCUUUUCUUUUCUCCAAAGCUCUUUUUACUUAGGGACGAAGCUAAAUGGAGUAAGGAUGGGCCAGUUGCCCACCAUAACAUUUUUUUAAUUUAGUGUAAUUCUUAUAAAAUUUUAGUGAUGCCUCUGUUCCAAUUUUAUGCUUAUGCUAAUAGUUUUCAUUUCUACCCCGGAUUAAAAAAACAAUUUCUAGAUCCGCCACUGAUGCCAAUGGUUUUAACCUGUAGGCUCAAGAUCUUUUUCCCCAUAGCUUGCGUUGCUUUUACCACAAUGGUGCCUGUUAAUUGGACAAACAAGGGAUUGGAUGGGUUGAAGCACUCUAAUAUAAGUUAUAGUGAUAUUAUAAGUUAUAGUGAUAUUGAUAAGCUCUCUUUGUCAAAUAUACCAAAUGGAUCAGACAGGUGAGAUAUACUUUUCCAACUUUGGUGCUUUUGUUCUUUAUUCCAUUAGUGUGAAUGGUGAUUCAUUGGUCUUUCAUGUUCCUAUAGAUUUUGGGUGCAUUUGUGUAUGGCUUAUGCAAUCACCUUCUGGACGUGCUUUAUGCUGAAAAGAGAGUAUCAGAAUAUAGCUUUGAUGAGGCUACAGUUUCUUGCAAAUGACGAAAGGAGACCCAACCAGUUCACUGUAAUGAAACUUUGAAUCUUUUUUUUUUUAUCACUCUUUGAGUUUAGCUUUCUGAUAGAAUCACUAUGAAAACUUUUUCAUUAAUGGUAGGUGCUGGUGAGAAACAUUCCUGUAGAUCCUCAUGAAUCAAUAUGUGAACUUGUUGAGCAUUUCUUUAAGGUCAACCAUCCAGAUCAUUACCUCACUUUCCAGGUAAAAUCAUCUCUGGAUGUUUUGAAAUAUAUCCAUCUCCUGGCUUAGUUUCCAGGUUGACGGUUCUUGAUCUUCUUUAACUCAGGCAGUCCAUGACGCAACCAAACUCUCUGAAUUGGUUCAGACAAGGAAACAAAUGCAGAAUCUGCUUGAUUACAAUAUUAACAAACACAUGAGAACUCUAACUAAAAGACCAGUAAUAAAGGUGAGUAAAGUCACAUUUGCAAAAAGCUUAAGUGAUGUUUUUAUUCAAGACUCAUUUUUAUUGUCUGCAAAGCAGAUGGGUUUUCUUGGCUGUUGCGGUGAAGAAGUUGAUGGAAUCAAGUACUACACGUCAAUGGUCGAGAGUCUAACAAGAGAAGUAAAGCGUUCAGCUCAGCUACUAUUCUAUAUAUGCUAUUUGCUUUUAUUCUCCAGUCAAUGCUAACUUCCAAAUGUUUCAGAUAACUGAGGAGAAACAUAGGUUAAGGACCGGGACAAAGUCGAUAGUCCCUGCAGCUUUUGUCUCUUUCAAGAGUCGUUGGGGAGCAGCGGUUUGUGCUCAAACUCAACAGUCAAGAGAUCCAACAGAGUGGCUAACCGAGUGGGCUGCAGAGCCAUGUGACAUCUACUAUGAUAAUCUGGCAUUGCCAUAUGUCGACCUUAAGAUAAGGAGGAUAAUAGUCGCCGUGGCAUACUUCUUCCUCACCUUCUUCUUCAUGAUCCCAAUAGCAUUUGUACAGUCACUCGCCAACAUUGAAGGGAUAGAGAAGAAUUUUCCAUUCUUGAAGCCCCUUAUAGAAGUGUAUGUCUCUGUGACUGUCUUAUUUCCCAUAAAUUACAAAAAUCUUUGCUCUGUCUUGUUGAUAGAAUCUCUUAUGUGGACAGGAAGUUUUUCAAGUCUAUCAUUCAAGGCUUCCUUCCAGGGAUUGCCUUGAAGAUCUUUCUCAUGUUGCUCCCAAGAAUAUUGAUGCAAAUGUCGAAAUUUGAAGGUUUUAUCAGCACAUCCUCAUUAGAAAGAAGAGCCGCAAGUAGAUUCUAUAUGUUCCAAUUCAUCAAUGUUUUCCUUGGAAGCAUUGUCACCGGGACUGCGUUUCAGCAGCUCAACAGCUUCCUUAACCAGUCUGCAAACGAGUAUGUAUAAUGUAUCUAGUUUUAUCACCAAUUGAUUUUAAGUUGGAAGCUAGUGAUAAUUUCAAAUUUAACAUGUUUCGUUUGGACAUGUUUUUUAAUGCAGUAUUGCAAAGACAAUUGGCGUCUCGAUUCCAAUAAAAGCGACCUUCUUUGUAACAUACAUAAUGGUGGAUGGAUGGGCAGGUGUUGCUGGGGAGAUACUGAGGUUGAAGCCGCUCAUAAUCUAUCAUCUAAAGAACUCUUUCCUGGUUAGAACAGAGAAAGAUAGGGAAGAAGCAACUGAUCCUGGAACCAUAGGAUUCAACACUGGUGAGCCUCAAAUACAACUCUACUUCCUUCUUGGUCUUGUUUAUGCAGCAGUUAGCCCUAUCCUUCUUCCCUUUAUCAUCCUCUUCUUUGCCCUGGCUUACGUCGUGUACCGUCAUCAGGUGAGAAUAAUUGAGUCCUUUUCCUCCAGAGCUCGAGCAUAGUUAGGUAAUAAUGAAGAAUUCAUUUGCAUGCAGGUUAUAAACGUGUACAACCAAAAGUAUGAGAGCGCAGGGAAGUUCUGGCCUGACGUUCACAGGCGUGUGGUGACCGCACUGAUAGUUUCGCAGCUGCUCUUGAUGGGUCUACUAAGCACGAAAGGAGCUCAUAAGUCUACUCCUUUGCUUCUUGUGCUUCCAGUUCUAACCAUCGGUUUCCACAUUCACUGCAAAUGCCGUUACCAAUCUGCCUUUGUCACAUACUCUUUAAAGGUUAGUCACAAAUUAACUAAUGAUCUCUAGUAGCUUUGAGUAAAAUGUGUAAGAUUACAUCUUAGCGAUCUGUCUUUUUACCCUUGUUUUUAUCAGGAAGCCACGAUCAAAGAUACACUGGAGCGCAUGCGUGAGCCAAACCUAAACCUCAAGGCUUUCUUUAGAAAUGCGUACGCCCAUCCAGAGUUCAGAGUUGGAGAAAAUCUGGAUCUAGAGAUGGCCAUGGAGAAGCCUGAUAAGCUGCCAGAGCUAGUGGCCACUAAGCGUGGCUCAUGGAGGAACACUUCUUUGCCUAGCAAACAUAUCUGACCUUAUUCACCCUGCUGCUGGCUUUUCAACCUUUAACUGUGAUUCUUUUAUGUUCUUGUACAUAUGAACAAUUGUAUUAAAUGCAAGGAGAAAAUACUAUUGAAGAACCACACGAGACGUUACAGUUAGAAUUGUAGCAUAUGAUUAGACAAAGCAACCCAAAAAGAAAAAUUCAGAAUCUUUACAUAUAUACUUGGAGAUAGGCAUGAUUGCUAUUAUAUAUCCUCAGCUUUAACCUUGCCUGAACUUGCAUUAGAAACACCAGUCAGAGUUGAAGCGAGCUUGAAGUAGGUAGCUCCAAACGUUUUGUGCACAUUUUUUAAACAUCGCUUUUGAGUUAUGGACAUUAACUCUCAUAUUGAUUCUUAUCAUCGACCCAAUAAAAAUAUUGACCUUAUGGAUCACCAAAAUUUUCUUCUACAUUCAUAGUUUGCCUCAAUUCCUUGGUAACAACAAACCCUAUGGUUUGCCUCUUGCUUCCAAGGCUUCUCAUCAACAUAGUCCUCACAUGACUUAUCUUCUACAUUCAUAGUUUGCGUCAAUCGACUAAUCUCUUUAAUCUACAUUAUCUUCCUAAAUAUAGAUUAACACAUAAACGUGUCCUCAUGGGAUUUGGUUGAACUGUAGAAAUUGAGCCACUAAGUGAGUGUUGUGAUCCAAAUGUUCGCAUGUGAAGGCAGGUGCAACUGUUUUAGGUGCAUGCAAUAAGAAAGACAUACAAUGAAGCAACGGCAUGCAUAAUUAAUUAUUGCAUCAUAUGAUUGAUUGCCUUCAUGAAGAAUGAUAUCACACAGUUGGUCUCUAAUACAUGUAGCCUUAGUGACUGUGUUAUACAGAAUGUGAUGUUUUUUCUCCCCCUUGAUUCUGAACUUUUAAGAGCGGAUGCUCUCCCUUGUGUGGAGCGAACUGGAACAAUGAACCAUUCUAUCUUAUCGAAUUUUAAUAAGAGCAUGUUCAAUGGGAAAGAUCCUAUUAGGUCUCUUAAGUAUAUUUAAUUACUAAAUUUUUGUUAAGAGAUCUUGUUAAAGUAUUUUUGUUUUCUUUGCUCCAAUGGUAAAACCAUAGAGGUUCUUAAAAAAACACUUAUGCAUGUCUGUGUGUAUCUGUGAAUGUUUCCUUUGAAUGAAACAAAAGCACCAAAGUGAUGUUAGACUGCACACCCUGCUCAACAAAUGAGUUCUCCAAAGAAUCAAGAUACAAGUUGUGUUUCUCAUUUGUCCAGCCACCACAUUCAUCCUGCAGAAACAAUUUUACAAAACAAAAACAAUAUUGAUGAGUAUUAAUCAUCCUGCCGGUGAAACUCAAGAUGAAAACUUGUCAAUAAAACUAAACCAUUACGACUCAACGAUCAGGUGUCCUCAUACAGAUUGAUAAGCCUGAGCCAAAGCAUUGCAACCACUGAACACAAACUCCAAUUGCUCAAAACAGUUUAAAAGAUAUGACUUUUCGAUUUGGUAAAUGCUUAUAAAUAAUUAGUUAAAGAUCUCAACAUCAGCAUCAUUGCAUCAAAACAAAAAUCGAAAAUAUAUACACACAAACAAUAGCCUCAAUAUAAAACUGAAAUACAUUGACAACUAAUCCAAACACUCUUCAAAUUGAGAUUGUUAUCACACAACAAACAAUUAGCCUCUAGUUUCAAGAUAAUCCAAUUCCAAAGCAUCACCAACAGAUAAAGCAUCACCACCCCCACCAAGAACCCAACCAAAACCUCCACCAAUCUUCUUCCUUUCCCUCCACCACCACCAUCUUCGUCCCACCACCGCUCCUCAAAUGCGCCAACAAACCUUUCAAGAACAUCUCGCUAUACAGCAACGUCUCGUUGACUUCGCCAGAAUCAAUCCCGGAGCUAGGCCACCCGGUCUCCGCCACAAUUACGGAAAGAUUCUCGUGUCCCGUCACAGCCAUGGACGUCCCGCAUCGUCACGGAGGGGAGACGUCAAGCACCAGCGCAUCGCGGAACCACCGAGAGAGAUUGAGAUAAACGAAUCUCGACUAGUGACACGUCGCACCUAAGAACCGUGCCUUAGAGCACUUAAUUAGGAGACGUGCCUUCACUUUAAUUCAUUUUUUCUUUUUCUUUUUUUUGAUAAUUACCCUAAGAGACGGGUUCAAGAGCUCGCGGUAAACCUGCUCUAAGGUUCCAAGUGAACAAUAACAUGAACGAGUUUAUGUGUUAAUAAGGUUACAAUCUUAUCGAAUUUUAAUAAGGUUACAAUCUUUACGGAUUUUUAUUAUAUUUUUAAAUUAGUUAUGUUUAUUGUUAAAUAAUUUUUUUUGGGGUCAAAUUUGUUAAAAAAAAAUUAUUAUAUCGAGGAAAAAAUCAGAAGUUUCGGGGAAAAUACCGAAUUUAUUAUGUUUGGUCUUCCAUUUAAAAGGCUAAACAGCGACGUUGAUAUACGACGCGUUAUCGUAACGAAUCCUGACCGCUCAUCUCGCCAAAUGACUCACCUCCUUGGAGAAUAUAUAUAAACCUCAAAAGCUGUAUUCCAAACUUUUUCCAAAAAAAUCCAUUCUCUUCCUCCUCCAGAUCUGUCACGAAGACCAUUUACCAGAUCCGCCUGAGCCAUGGAGAAACCGUACGGAUACGCGAGCGUGAGCAUGAGCAUGAGCGGCGUAGAUCGCUCCGCCGGGAAGGAUAUCGAUCUUGAGAUGGGAGAGGCGACGCUCUACCCAGGGCUAAGCUACGGCGAGAAUCAACUCCGGUGGGGAUUCAUCCGCAAGGUCUACGGGAUCCUCUCCGCCCAGCUCCUCCUAACCACGCUUAUCUCCGCCGUCGUCGUCCUUAAUCCUCCGGUCAACGAACUCCUAACCGGAUCUCCCGGCCUUCUCCUCUUCCUCUGCAUCAUCCCUUUCGUCUGUACGUAACCUAGAUCUCAUUCUUCGCAUCAGAUUUACAUUUAAUCUCCAUCGUUAGGUAUCAGAUUUGAUGUGGUGAUUAUGAUUCUUAAGGUUUGAUCUUCAUGUGUUGAGAAUAUGCUAUUCAUUGUUGAUGUCAUUGAUUACUGCAGUGAUCUGGCCUCUGCACGUUUACCACCAGAAGCAUCCUGUUAACCUCAUCCUCCUUGCCCUCUUCACUAUCUCUUUGAGCUUCACCGUUGGUGUCAGUUGUGCCAUGACAGAAGGUUCAAUUCUCGUUUCCUCUACUGUCAUUAGAACUUAGAAGUCUUAUUCUUAUAACAAUAUCUUUUCUGUUUUCAUCAGGAAGAAUCGUCCUUGAAGCCUUGAUAUUGACACUGUCCGUGGUCGGGUCUCUAACCGCAUACACUUUCUGGGCUGCAAAGAAGGGCAAAGACUUCAGCUUCCUUGGACCCAUUCUCUUCACCAGCCUCAUCAUUCUUGUAGUGACCAGCUUCAUGCAGGUCUCUCUCUCUCUCUCUCUUACGAAUUAAGCAAAAACAUCUCCACAUAUACAUAAAGGAAAUGCUUACAUUUUGUUUUGUUUAUCAUAAUAUUGCAGAUGUUCUUCCCGCUUGGCCCGACCUCUGUUGCCAUAUAUGGAGGAGUCAGCGCGCUGGUGUUCUGCGGAUACAUAGUCUAUGAUACCGACAAUCUCAUCAAGCGUUUCACAUAUGACGAAUACAUCCUCGCAUCGGUGGCUCUCUACUUGGACAUCCUCAAUCUCUUCUUGACCAUAUUGCGUAUUCUGAGGCAAGGUGACAACUGAAGGAAGCCAUACAAGCAUGAGGCUUCUGUGAUGGGAUUUCAGGGCUUUUAUGUGAUUUACAUUUUGUGUAUACCUGACUUAUGUUUCGAGUUUUUUUUUAUUUUACUAUAUGCUGCUAUGUGGUUAAACUGUUUGGUAAAACAAAAUCAAUUGAAGUCCAAUUUUCAAUGUUAAAUAAAUUUGGUAG
rnacentral:lncRNA from 1 species